UUCUAUUUGAAUCAAAAUAUAUUGAGAAAUGAACAGUAUUUACAUAAGUAUUUCAUUAACAAAAACCAAGUCCCAUGAUUGUAUUCUCAAAAAAAUGUUACUGUUGGCAAAUUAGAUACCGAUACCGGUGGUUCUGCUUAUCCAUGUACGGUAAUCGGCGACACUGGUAAAUCCUCCAUACAUUGACUCACCAAUUA